rnacentral:lncRNA from 1 species
AAAGGACUUCUGACUCAAACUCCACUUCUAGAGUUCAGGUUCAGCACUUCCAGCCCGGCGACUUGGUGCUGAUUAAGACUUGGGAAGAAGACAAGCUCCACCCAAACUGGGAAGGUCCCUACCAAGCGCUCCUGACCACUGAGACAGCUGUGUGAACAGUGGAACGGGGGUGAGCUCAGUAUACUUGAGUCAAGGGACUGGUGGAAGAAUUGUCUGAAGAGGAUGAGUGAUCACCUUCCAGGUGGAGGUAAGAACG